AAUAGUAUUAAAAAUACUGUAGGUUGGUGCAAAAGUAAUGGCAGUUUUUGUCGUUAAUUUUUAAUUUUUAAUGGCAAAAACUGCCAUUACUUUUGCACCAACCUAAUAC
rnacentral:miRNA from 1 species